GACGAACGCUGGCGGCGUGCUUAACACAUGCAAGUCGAACGAAAAGAGGGAAAGAGCUUGCUCUUUCCGGAAUUGAGUGGCAAACGGGUGAGUAACACGUAAACAACCUGCCUUCAGGAUGGGGACAACAGACGGAAACGACUGCUCCUACCGAAUAAGUUCCAAGAGCCGCAUGGCCCAUGGAAGAAAAGGUGGCCUCUACCUGUAAGCUAUCGCCUGAAGAGGGGUUUGCGUCUGAUUAGCUGGUUGGAGGGGUAACGGCCCACCAAGGCGACGAUCAGUAGCCGGUCUGAGAGGAUGAACGGCCACACUGGAACUGAGACACGGUCCAGACUCCUACGGGAGGCAGCAGUGGGGAAUCUUCCGCAAUGGGCGAAAGCCUGACGGAGCAACGCCGCGUGAGUGAUGACGGCCUUCGGGUUGUAAAACUCUGUGAUCCGGGACGAAAAGGCAGAGUGCGAAGAACAAACUGCAUUGACGGUACCGGAAAAGCAAGCCACGGCUAACUACGUG
rnacentral:rRNA from 1 species